rnacentral:rRNA from 1 species
GACGAACGCUGGCGGCGUGCUUAACACAUGCAAGUCGAACGGAAAGGCCCUGCUUUUGUGGGGUGCUCGAGUGGCGAACGGGUGAGUAACACGUGAGUAACCUGCCCUUGACUUUGGGAUAACUUCAGGAAACUGGGGCUAAUACCGGAUAGGAGCUCCUGCUGCAUGGUGGGGGUUGGAAGGUUUCGGCGGUUGGGGAUGGACUCGCGGCUUAUCAGCUUGUUGGUGGGGUAGUGGCUUACCAAGGCUUUGACGGGUAGCCGGCCUGAGGGGGUGACCGGCCACAUUGGGACUGAGAUACGGCCCAGACUCCUACGGGAGGCAGCAGUGGGGAAUAUUGCACAAUGGGCGGAAGCCUGAUGCAGCAACGCCGCGUGCGGGAUGACGGCCUUCGGGUUGUAAACCGCUUUCGCCUGUGACGAAGCGUGAGUGACGGUAAUGGGUAAAGAAGCACCGGCUAACUACGUG